GGCACGAUGGCAGAGUGGUUAUUGCGUAAGACUAGAAUAUAGCAUCACAUUCUCUCUGAGAGUGGAGUUGCACAUCAUCUGGAUCAUCUUAUUCCUUCGGGAGCGUAGGUUCAAGUCCUACUCGUGUCG